UACGGAGGGGGCUAGCGUUGUUCGGAAUUACUGGGCGUAAAGAGCGCGUAGGCUGUUUGGCAAGUUGGAAGUGAAAUCCCGGGGCUUAACCUCGGAACUGCUUUCAAAACUGCUAAGCUAGAGUAUGGUAGGGGAUGAUGGAAUUCCUAGUGUAGAGGUGAAAUUCUUAGAUAUUAGGAGGAACACCAGUGGCGAAGGCGGUCAUCUGGGCCAUUACUGACGCUGAGGCGCGAAAGCGUGGGGAGCAAACAGG
rnacentral:rRNA from 1 species